rnacentral:lncRNA from 10 species
GGGACAUAGAAGUUCAUUAGUGAUUCCAGUUUUGCCCUGACCUUGUGAUCUCACCCUGACCUUCUGCCUUGUGAUCUUUCGUCACCCUUGAAGCAUGUGAUCUCUGUGACCCACACCUUAUUUGUACACUCCCUCCCCUUUGAAAAUUGCUAAUAAAAACUUGCUGGUUUUACGGCUCAGGGGGCAUCACGGAACCUGCCGACAUGUGAUGUCUCCCCCGGACACCCAGCUUUAAAAUUUCUCUCUUGUACUCUUUCCCUUUAUUUCUAGACCGGCCAACACUUAGAGAAAUAGAAAAGAACCUAUGUGAAAUAUCGGGGGCUGGUUUCCCCUGAUAGUGAAGGAGACAGGUUAGAUACACUGGAGCUUCCACACAGGAGAGAGGGAAGGAGCUGGAGAAGAAGACAGGAGCCACAGAUUUUGGAGUACUGCAAAAUGACUUUCCAAAUUGAUGAACCAUGGACUCCAAGCUGGAUAGACACAGAAAUGAAAAGAAGGGACUAAUAGGGAAUAAGACGUGUGAUCCAUGGCCCGAUGGCCCUGAUGGACGUGAAGAUCCACUGUUGUGGGAGGAGUGGAACACUAACACUGAAUGAUGGAGGCUGUGGUCAGAAACAGAUUUGUCUGAAUUUCAGUUGAUCCAGAGCAAGAAAAAGAUCACGCCUGAAGAAAUGCUGCUGAUGUCUAUGUCACAGUCCUUUCUGUCUUACCCAUGAACCAAGUGAGAAGACAGCAUUGGCCAGCAGUUUUUACUAUUUCUCUUUAACUCACGUUUGGACUUUAAACUUCCAUCUGCCUCUCUCUCCUACUUUCACGGUGUCUGGAAUGUUUUCUCAAUGCCAACAAUCAAUUCUCUGAUUCUCCAGACACCAGCUGGAUGUCCUACAUUCAAUUCUAACACUAUCUACCUGGAGUUAGCACAGACCUCACAGGUUAAGGGUUCAUUCCCACAAGACCCCCACAACUUCAGAUGUUGGUUGCAAGGCCUGGCUGCCUGCACUUCUGACCCACUGGCUAUAAUUCAGGGGUUCCUGCUGGAACUGUAAUAGGUCCAUCACCAUCACCCAAUGCAGGCAUUAAGUCAGUACACCGAGACACCCGGUUGCGCAGAGAAAGAGGUAUUAUCGUGGAGCCACCAAACAACAAGACAGGAGGAAACCUUCAAAUCCAUCUCCCCAAGGAGUUUGGGGCUCGGGCUUUUUUUUUUUUUUUUUGAGACGGAGUCUCGCUCUGUCGCCAGGCUGGAGUCCAGUGGUGUGAUCUCAGCUCACUGCAACCUCCGCCACCCAGGUUCAAGCGAUUCUCCUGCCUCAGCCUCCUGAGUAGCUGGGAUUACAGGCGCCCACCACCACACCUGGCUAAUAUUUGUAUUUUUAGUAGAGACAGGAUUUCCACCAUGUUGGCCAGGAUGGUCUUGAUCUCCUCACCUUGUAAUCCACCCCGCCCGCCUUGGCCUCCCAAAGUGCUGGGAUUAUAGGCCUGAGUCGCCACGUCCAGCCUGGGCUUGGGCUUUUAAGGGUUUUGGAGUGGGCGGAAGUGUGGAGAUGGUGGAUUGGCUGAAUAGUGCGGUGUGAAGUCAUGGGACAGGAAGAUGAAGAAGCUGUAUUCUCACACUGAUUUGGUUCCUCUGUGGGGGUCUUCAAAGCGGUUGGUUGCAGCUGCUUCACUGGAAUUCAGGGUCUCAGAAAAACAUCUUAAGCAUCCUCAAACAAAAGUCUUAUGAUUCUAAUGUCAGAGAUGCUGUCUAUAGGAAUAAUGGGAAUGCAAAUGGUCGGUGUCAGGUGCUACGAGACUUUAAGCAAUGAGGAAGGGGCCAGAGAGCAGCCUGAUAGAUGCUGAAUUAUAACCGUGUUUCAUUCUUGUCAAUGCUGUGGGGAUGCCUUCCUCACAACUUCCUCCUCAGGUUUCAUAACAUGUUAGAAUCAGUCACAGAACUCAGGAACACACUUUACUUACAUGUGCAAACUUAAAUAAUACAACUAAGGAACAGCCAGAUGGAAGAGAGGCAUAGGACCAGGCGUCGGGGAGGGGCACGAGCAGCCCUGCCACAUUCCGGGCACCAGCCUUCCAACACCGAUGUAUUCACCAGCCUGGAGUUUCUAUACAGCUCAAUCUCCAGCUUCCCCUUUCCCUUGCAUGAGGCAAAGGUCAGGGACAGAGUGAAAGUUCCAACCUUUUAAACAUUAGUCUUUCUGAUGACCAGCCGCAUCCUGAGUAUCUAGGGGCCACACGCUAGAUCACCUAAUUAGCAUAAACACAGGUGUGAUCAAAAGGAAUUCAUUAUGAAUAACAAGACUCCCAUCAGGCCUGGCGUGGUGGCUCACACCUGUAAUUCCAGCACUUUGGGAGGCUGAGGCGGGUGAAUCACUUGAGGUCACGAGUUCCAAGACCAGCCUGGCCAACACAGUGAAACCUCAUCUCUACUAAAGAUACAAAAAUAAAUUAGCCAGGCAUUGUGGCAGGCACCUGUAAUCCCAGCUACUCAGGAGGCUGAGGCAGGAGAAUCGCUUGAACCUGGGAGGCAGAGGUUGCAGUGAGCCGAGGUCACGCCAUUGCACUCCAGCCUGGGUGACAGAGCAAGACUCUGUCUCAAAAAAAAAAAAGACUCCCAUCACUCAGGCAAUGCCAAGGGUUUAGGGAACUCUGUGCCAGGAACAGGGACAAAAACCAGAUACAUAUAUAUAUAUAUACUUUUUAAAAAUAUAAUUUCAACUUUUAUUUUAGAUUUGGGGGCAUAUGUGCAGGUUUGUCUCAUGGGUAUAUGGCAUAAUGCUGAGGUUUGGUGUAUGACUGAUUCUGUCACCCAGAUAGUGAGCAUAGUUCCCAACAGUUAGUUUUUCAACCCUCGCCCACUCCCUCUCUCCUCCCGCUAGGAGUCCCCCAGUGGUGUUUUUGCCAUCUUUAUGUCCACGAGUACCCAAUGUUUAGCUCACACUUAUCAGUGAGAACACGCCAUAUUUGAUUUUUCUCUUCCUGCAUUAAUUUGCUUAAGAUAAUGACCAAAUCUAUUUCUUAUUAUACCACAGAUAUAUAUAUAAAUCCUGUAGCUAAGGACUCAUCUUUGUACCGGUAGGCAGUAUUUACAAUGCACGCAUCAAGUCAGUACACCAAGACAACUGGUUGCAGCAGAGAAAGAGGUUUAAUCAUAGGGCCACCAAACAAGAAGACAGGAGGAAACCUCAAAUCCAUCUCCCCAGAAAGUUUGAGAUUAGGGAUUUUUUUUCAGUAGCUGAAUAUAACUGGCCAGUGCAGAAGAGCCUAUGAAGGUGGAAAAUGGAGGAAGGAGGACCCCAUGCUGGAGAAGUGAUGGAGAUUUGAAGCCUUGGAAGAUGGCGGCAAGGGAGAUGCCAGAGAUGAGACAAUGUUAAACAUCUGUAAUCUAACAGUCUUCUAUGGGAGUUUAUUACAUUUCCAUAUCCUAUGUUCACUUCUAGUGAAAAAUAAAAAUAAAAUCUUAAGCCCCCCACAGCUGACUAAAUGGAUCCCAUUGUGAAAGGAAAAUAUCUUGAGCCUCCAAAAUCACUAAGGAAAAUUCAAGCUGGAAACUUCUUAGGACAAACCUGCCUCCCAUUCUCUUCAAAGUUAUUCCUCUGCUCGAGGAGCUAGAUGCAUAUCUGAUUGCCGCCUUUGGAAAGGCUAACCAGAAACUCAAAAGAAUGAUACAGUUUGUUAUCACCUACCUGUGACCUGGAAGCUCCCUCCCUCCCCACUUGAGUCUUCCUGCUUUUGUUUCAAGCUGUCCUGCCUUUCCAGACCAAACCAAUGUACUUCUUACGUAUAUUGAUUGAUGUCUCACUCAUGUCUCCCUAAAUCGUAUAAAACCAAGCUGUGCCCCAACUACCCUGGGCAUGUGUCAUCAGGAUUUCAUGAAGCUGUGUCACGGGCGCAUUCCCCAACCUUGAAAAAAUAAACUUUCUAAAUUAACUGAGACCUGUCUCAGAUUUUCUGGGUUCACAUUGUUUUCGUCAAGGGGACUCCCCAAGUAACUUUGAAAACUGAGUUCUAGGCUGUGAGGGGAUGGGAGGUCAGAGGUCAGACGCACCUUGCUGCACACCUCCACCUCGCUAACCCCCUUAGGCUUUCUUCCCUAGGGGCUAAACAGAAACCAGCUCUUUCCUUUUUUUUUUUUCUUUUUUUUUAGAGACGAGUCUUGCUCUGUCACCCAGGCUGGAGUGCAGUGGUUCGAUUUUGGCUCACUGCAACCACCACCUCCCAGGUUCAAGCAAUUCUCCUGCCUCAGCUUCCCAAGUAACUGCAACUACAAGCACAUGCCACCAUGCCCGGCUAAUUUCUUUUGUAUUUUUAGUAGAGAUGGGGUUUCACCAUGUUGCCCGGGCUGGUCUUGAACUCCUGAGCUCAGGCAAUCUGUCCGCCUCAGCCUCCCAAAGUGCUAGGAUUACAGGCAUGAGCCACUGCACCCAGCCAAAACCAGCUCUUUCAAAAGACUCCAGUGCUGAUAUCAACAACUGCCUGAGGCUUCCCCACCCUUUUGCAGUUUCCACAUAACAAUUAACCAGCAUUCCCUCCUGAUAAGAGACAACACCCCGCCCGCCGACGCAGAGCGGUUCUGGCCAGUCUUCAGAGGCUGCACACAGAGAGCCUGCGUGUCCCUGCUUUGUCUUUCGAUGUAAAAGGCCUAACUGUCAUGCAUUGAAAUGUGAAGUCUCCAGCCCAAAGUGAACAUGGGACACAUGCUGCAUGCAUGUUAGCCUGCUACACAUGCAUGAUCCUCUUCAUGAAUAUUCAUAGCUCCUCCUGUAAUCUGUUGAAUAUGUAUACUUAGCCAACCUGCUCAACAUAAAUUCCUGUUCCCUUUACCCCUCCUUUGAAAUAUGUGUUUCCAGCUUCUGGCCCAAGGCUACGCUUUCCAGCCUGUCAGAAUGGCUGCCUGCAAGCAGCAACCCUUUAGGAGAAAGAAAGCUCUCCUUUCCAAAUUUAUAAAUGUCAUCAUACUUCAGUUUACAAUAGUAUUUAAUUUUUUGACCUUUAAGUUCUCCAAGGUCCUUCUCCAUUUUUAAGGCUUUCGAAAUUAACUGAUGAUUCUACUAAAAAGCUAAAAAUAGGUUUUUUGUUUCCAAAUAAUCAGAACAUAAUACAGUCAAAAGCACCAUAUAGAAAUAGUUCCCUGUUUCCAGCCAAUACGGCUGUGUCUCUGUUUUGAACAUUUGCCUCCAGAGUGUUGCUGAUGCAGUUCAAACAGAAAGCACUGAGAAAUAAAAUUUGCAAGUGGUUUCUGUUGAGAGUUUCUACUGUUUAUAAGUCUGCGAGAAUUAGUUACGUUACAGCAGGGAGUGAGAGAGAGAAGCAGCGGGUACCAAAACCUCGCUGAGCUCCUACCUGCCCUCCCCAUUUCUUGCCCGCCCCCCAUGGCUACCUGCCCCCUGCGAUGAACUCGAGACCUUGGAAUGAGAAACAGUUCAGAGUUGUCUGGUGUGUGCAUAUCACCUGUGGUCUAACUCAUCACCCUGAAAGAAACCAAAAUAUUUCACCCCAAAAUACCCUUCUUUGACAUAUUUUGAGAGGGCUGUUCAGAGGGCCUGCGAGCAUGGGCAGCCCUGCAAAGGUGUCUGGUGGGGGAGAUUUGCAUCUGAGGGAAAAUCAGCAGUGAUACAGUCAGGCUUAGAGUUCCUCCCUUGUCUGGAUCUAGAAAAGAUUAACUGAGAGUGACAUCUUUAAAGAGCUGAAAGAAACAUUUCCCAUCUAUUCUCUGUGACGGUUGCCACCUGCAAGGUUUCAUCUACAUAACAAGACCACCUUUGCAGACCAGGUCUCCUCUUCUCUCCCUCCCAUAACCUGUCUUGCCAUUAGAAACUGAUUUACCACCAUAACCUGUUUUUAGCCAUGCUCUGAGGCCCCAUUCUUUCUGUAACCUUGAGACGGCAUAAAGAGGUCAACCAUCUGGCCAUUUCUUUGAGUUCUUAUAUUUUGUAGGACUCCCAUAUAUAUUAAUAAAUUUGGAUGCCUUUUCUCCUAUUAAUAUGCCUUUUGUCAGUUGAUUUUUCAGUGAACCUUCAGCGGGUGAAGGAGAAGUUUUCCCUUGGUCCCUACAAUCUGUUUACCCUAAACCAGGCUGAUACAAAAAUUAAAUGAUGU